GCGAACGCUGGCGGCGUUGCCUAACACAUGCAAGUCGAACGUGAAAGGGGGCAACCCGAGUAAAAGUGGCGGUACGGUGAGUAACGCGUAGGUUAAUCUACCCUAGAAUCUGGAAUAAACCUGCCGAAAGGCGGGGCUAAUACUGGAUUAGAGCGAAAGGACUCGUAAACGAGUUUUUUCGGGAAAGGGGAUGGGAGCCAAUCCCCCUCGUUCUAGGAUGAGCCUGCGUCCCAUCAGCUAGUUGGCGAUGGGUAACGGCCUCACCAAGGCAAUGAACGGGUAAGCUGGUCUGAGAGGAAUGAUCAGGCCACACUGGAAACUGAAACAACGGUCCAGACUCCUACGGGAGGCAGCAGUGGGGAAUCUUGCGCAAUGGACGAAAGUCUGACGCAGCAACGCCGCUGUGAGUGAAGAAGGCCUUAGGGUUUGUAAAGCUCUGUCGCCGCGGACGAAAAUACUUACGGUUAACAAGCCGUAGGGACUGACGGUACCGGGAGAGAGGAAGCACCGGCUAACUCUGUGCCAGCAGCCGCGGUAAUACAGAGGGUGCAAGCGUUGCCUCGGAAUCAUUGGGCGUAAAGGGUAGGUAGGUGGUCUCAUUUGUCUGGGGUGAAAAUCUCUUCGGCUUAAACCGGAGAAGUGCCCCGGAAAACGGUUUAUGAGACUGGAGUCCCUGGAGAGGGUCGUGGAAUUCCCGGUGUAGCGGUGAAAUGCGUUAGAGAUCGGGGAGGAAACACCAGAGGCGAAGGCGGCGACCUGGACAGGUUACUGACACUCAACUAUGAAAAGCGUGGGGGAGCAACAGGAUUAGAUACCCUGGUAGUCCACGCUGUAAACGAUGGGUACUAGGUUUGGUGGGUCUUGACCCCCGCCGAACCGGAAGCUAACGCACUAAGUACCCCGCCUGGGAAGUACGGUCGCAAGACUAAAACUCAAAGGAAUUGACGGGGGCCCGCACAAGCGGUGGAUCAUGUGGUUUAAUUCGAAAGGCAACGCGAAGAAACCUUACCUGGGUUUGGACAUCCCUCGACAGCCGUAGAGAUACGGUUUUAAGUAGCAAUACUACGGGGAGACAGGUGCUGCAUGGCUGUCGUCAGCUCGUGUGGUGACAUGUUGGGUUAAGUCCCGCAACGAGCGCAACCCCUGUCCUUAGUUGCCAGCAUUCAGUUGGGCUCUCUAAGGAGGACUGCCGUGGUUAACACGGAGGAAGGUGGGGAUGACGUCAAGUCCUCAUGGCCUUUAUAUCCAGGGCGACACACGUGAUACAAUGGACGGUACAGAGGGAAAGCUAAGCCGCGAGGUGGAGCAAAUCCCAAAAGCCGUUUCUCAGUUCGGAUUGGAGUCUGCAACUCGACUCCAUGAAGUUGGAAUCGCUAGUAAUCGCGGAUCAGCACGCCGCGGUGAAUACGUUCCCGGGCCUUGUACACACCGCCCGUCACACCAUGGGAGCUGACUCAACCAGAAGACGGUCAGGCUAACCGCAAGGGGGCCUCCGGCGAAGGUGGGGUUGGUGACUGGGGUG
rnacentral:rRNA from 1 species